GGAUUGGUAGUCUAAUGGUAAAACAUCUUGACUGGCUUAGCAUCCAAGAUUCAUUCCCUAAGUAAGAAGUUCCUCGUUCGAUUCGGGGCCAGUCCG